rnacentral:rRNA from 1 species
UACAGAGGGUGCAAGCGUUAAUCGGAGUUACUGGGCGUAAAGGGCGCGUAGGCGGAUUGUUAAGUGAGCUGUGAAAGCCCUGGGCUUAACCUGGGAAUGGCAGCUUAUACUGGCGAUCUGGAGUACUGUAGAGGGUAGUGGAAUUUCCGGUGUAGCGGUGAAAUGCGUAGAGAUCGGAAGGAACACCAGUGGCGAAGGCGGCUACCUGGACAGAUACUGACGCUGAGGCGCGAGAGCGUGGGGAGCAAACAGG